rnacentral:ncRNA from 1 species
ACUUUCAUGUAGGGGGACCAGUUGCUGCUGGUUGAGAUUGUAUCCGUCAAGAUACUGACCCUUGGAACCUGAUCUGGCUGACACCAGCGUAGGGAACAUAUUUGAACGGUAG